GGCCAAUUCCUCCACCAUUUGGUAUGAUGAUCUGAACAGUAGUGAUUGACUUAUAAAUCACAUUCAUCUUUCAUUUCUAUUGCUUGCUAAAACAGUUGGUUGCUAUCUCAGGUCUUAACAAUGAAAGGAUAAAGCUGAGUACAUUUUAACUUUUCCUCCAGUUUUCUGGGACAUAUGGGACACUACAUAAUCUUAUACUGAGAUAGGCAAUAGCUAUCUCUCAUAGAUGAGUAUAAGGGGCUAUAUACAGAAAAGCAAGAAAUAUUACUUCUGCAGAUGUUUGUUGAAAAUCUGUUGAUAUGCACUGCAAUGGAUGGAAAGGUGGAUGAGACACAUGCCAUAACUUAAAAUUUUGUCACAGAUAUGAAAAUCCUAUAACAUAAAGUUUGUAAUCACCCAUAAUGGAAGCAUAAGGAGUAGGUUAUAGAAUAUAGAAAAGGAAAAGUCAAACCCUCCUUACCUUGAGAAAAGUCAGAGGGAAGUGUUAAAGAGGAGGAUUUAACAGUGACCUAAUAAAUGUUGCUGAUUUAAUUAGGUGGCUGUGGAAGGCCUUUUCCAGGAGGGCAUGCACCUUGAUUCUGAUGGCAUGUGUAAAGUCCAUGCUGAAAUACUUCAUGAAUUUUUAAUGGAUACAGUAAUAAAUAGUGGGAUUUCCUUUUAUCAAAAUUUCUUUGAUGUAGUAAAGUUCUUAUUUCAUAAUGUAUCAUCUUGUCAUGGUAAAUUAGUACUUCCAAAUAUAAAUGGAGCUCUUGUGAGAUAGAAAUAAUUCUGCAAUUAUAUAGUAGGGAAAGAAAAAAGACAAGCCUGGAGCUAGGUAGAGCCAUGUUUAAAUCCUUAAUAUGUUGCUUCAUGGCUGGUUGGCCAAAGGCUAUAACCUAAACUUGUUCCAUCUCAGUUUGCCUCAUCUGGCAAGUCAGGAUGUUCACCCGUUGAUGUUCUAGGUUUGGGAGAAAUUAAAGACUAUAUUAACAUACUUGAAAUCACCCUAGUUCAGAAAUUUCUGGGUAUUUACAUAACUUCCUUUUUAUUUUCCAGGUCCUGGUAUGCGUCCACCAAUAGGCUUCAGAGAAUAUGCACCAGGUGUUCCACCUGGAAAACGGGAUUUGCCUUUUGACCCUCGUGUUUUUUUUCCAGGACCCGCACCAUUUAGACCUUUAGGCUCAUUUGGCCCAAGAGAGUACUUCAUUCCUGGUGCCCCAUUACCACCUCCAACUCAUGGUCCCCAAGACUAUGGGCCACCACCUGUUGCAAAAGACUUAAUGCCUUCAGGCUUUAAAGAUGAACCUCCACCUUCACCUGAUUCUCAGAGUAGUGAGGGCUGUUCACAGGCCUUAAAACUGGGCCCAUAAAAUUAACCUCUGACACUUAGUCAGAAAGUGGAUUAUGAACUAUUAUUCAUUGUGUUAAAGGAUUAUUGGCUUCAAAAUAUAAAAGUUUAUUUUAAAUGGUUUAUGUUUUUAGAAUGAAGCUGCCUUGGUGCAGUACACAUUUUGAGCCAAAAUAUUUUCCCCCUAAAUAUCCCCCACUUAAGCUAGAGUAUCCUUCCAACUUUAAAACAUGCAAUAAGGAAUACCUUUGUUUUAGUUAAUGUAGCAUAUACAAUUGCUAAAUGAUUUAGAAUGUCAUAAUUAUGGACAUUUCCUCUGGAAAUGCUUUAAGAACAUGUAUUUCCAUUAUCCUAUUUUUAGUGUAUUCCAGUUGAUAGAGAAAUGGUGUUUUAUAAGCUUGAUUUUUCUCUUCCAGUAUCUGGUCACAGAGACUGUUAUGCUAAAAAUGUUUACUCAAAGAUCAUAAACUUCAUUUUCCUUCUUGCUGAAGUUCUUUGUUGUAAUAGUUCAUAAAAAAUUGUUUAUUAAUAUUUCCCAAGUGUCUGUUGAUUCAUUGGAUCGUCAUGAGACUUUGUGCCAUUGGGGAAGCAUGUAAACUCACUCUCAGAACUGAAGAUGGUGACUUGGCAGCAUAUUCCCUGUUGCUCACUGUUAAGGAGGCUGGACCUUGGUCAACUGUGGACUUCUACAGAGGAUUUCUUUUACUUGUGAGAAGACUUGUGGCUCUAUUUUUGUAGCACAGCACAUUCAUGUACUUUUUUCUAACCAUUGUCCAUGUGAGAAUGGUUUUCUUAGAAUGAGUUUACAUUAGUAGCAAGAGUUGUUUGACCUGAAGUUCUACUGCUUUUGCCAUUAUUGCAUGAUAACAGUAAAUAUAAGGUGGUAUGUUGUGUCUAUAAAAAAUAAGGAAAUUUCUUUUUAAAAAUGUACACACACACUCUUCUCUUUCCCAUACCUUGCCACUGAUUUUUCAAGGAAUAUGAUUAAAAAAAUUAGAAA
rnacentral:lncRNA from 1 species